GUGUCCAUCGAGAGAAUAUAUGCAGUGAAUAUGGUAUAUAAACACACUGUAAUGUUUUCUUUCACUUAAGUCUGUGUGUCUUUAGCUGUUUCAGGUUCAGGUCUGUCUUCAGCGGCUGUAGCAGGAAUUGUUGUUGGUGUUAUUGUUGUUCUGCUGCUGCUGACUGUUGUAGCUGCUGUUAUUAAAUAUCGCAGCAGGAGCUCCAGAAAUACAGUCAAGGAGAAAAACUCCAAUAAAGGAUUACUGCAAAACAAUGAGGAGGUCCUAAAAGUGUGAUUAUGAAACAAGAAAAAACUGCUUACCUGUAAAACAUAUUGCACUACUGUACCUUGAUCAAACACUGAUUGUAACACUGGACACACUAAUUUUAAGGCAAUAAGUGCACCUUUUUAGCUUUAAGAGUGUAACAUCAUAGUUGUGUUGUGUUUUGGUGUGGU